AGGGACCGCAGAAGACUUAGGCUAGUAACGGCGAGUGAAGCGGCAACAGCUCAAAUUUGAAAUCUGGCUCUUUCAGAGUCCGAGUUGUAAUUUGCAGAGGGCGCUUUGGCUUUGGCAGCGGUCCAAGUUCCUUGGAACAGGACGUCACAGAGGGUGAGAAUCCCGUACGUGGUCGCUAGCUAUUGCCGUGUAAAGCCCCUUCGACGAGUCGAGUUGUUUGGGAAUGCAGCUCUAAAUGGGAGGUAAAUUUCUUCUAAAGCUAAAUAUUGGCCAGAGACCGAUAGCGCACAAGUAGAGUGAUCGAAAGAUGAAAAGCACUUUGGAAAGAGAGUCAAACAGCACGUGAAAUUGUUGAAAGGGAAGCGCUUGCAGCCAGACUUGCUUGCAGUUGCUCAUCCGGGCUUUUGCCCGGUGCACUCUUCUGCAGGCAGGCCAGCAUCAGUUUGGGCGGUGGGAUAAAGGUCUCUGUCAUGUACCUCUCUUCGGGGAGGCCUUAUAGGGGAGGCGACAUACCACCAGCCUAGACUGAGGUCCGCGCAUCUGCUAGGAUGCUGGCGUAAUGGCUGUAAGCGGCCCGUCUUGAAACACGGACCAAGGAGUCUAACAUCUAUGCGAGUGUUUGGGUGUCAAGCCCGAGCGCGUAAUGAAAGUGAACGGAAGGUGGGAACCCGCAAGGGUGCACCAUCGACCGAUCCUGAAGUUUACGGAAGGAUUUGAGUAAGAGCAUGGCUGUUGGGACCCGAAAGAUGGUGAACUAUGCUUGAAUAGGGUGAAGCCAGAGGAAACUCUGGUGGAGGCUCGCAGCGGUUCUGACGGGCGAAUCGAUCGUCGAAUUUGGGCAUAGGGGCGAUAGACUAAUCGAACUAUCUAGUAGCUGGUUGCUGCCGAAGUUUGCCUCUAGGAUAGCAAUUAUGCGGAUUCCGGAGGU
rnacentral:rRNA from 1 species